AUGGGUAAGAACAACAAAAGGGGACGCAAGAAUCGCAAUAAGAAUGGCGAGAUUAAAUACAAGUGCAGUCGUAAGAAACAUCAACCAGAUGUCGAUGUUGAUGUAGAUGUAGCAAUUAGUGAUUGUGCUGCACCCGAUUACACUGACAGUGAUUGUUCUGGAUGCGAUUGCACUGAUUGUGAUUGUUCUGGAUGCGAUUGCACUGAUUGUGAUUGUUCUGGAUGCUGUGAUUGUUUCUUUUCAAUCUGCUGUGAUUUUCUGGCAUCAUGCAUUUCUUGUUGUUUUGACAGAGAUGAAUAAUCUGUUCAGAGUAAAUGGAUUCCUGGAGGAGAUGCAGCGGUCAGAGGUCUCCUAAAGAGCAUCAUCUAACCCAAAGCAAACAGCAAUAAAUACCAUCUUUAAUGUCA
ensembl:lncRNA